rnacentral:rRNA from 1 species
GACGAACGCUGGCGGCGUGCCUAAUACAUGCAAGUCGAACGCAGUGGGGACGGGUGAGUAACACGUGGGUAACCUCCCAUCAGAGGGGAUAACACUUGGAAACAGGUGCUAAACCGAUACUGAUGGAUGCACCCGCGGUGCAUUAGCUAGUUGGUGAGGUACCGGCUCACCAAGGCCACGAUGCAUAGCGGACCUGAGAGGGUGUUCGGCCACACUUGGAUGGAGACACGGCCCAGACCCCUACGGGAGGCAGCAGUAGGGAAUCUUCGGCAAUGGGCGAAAGUCUGACCGAGCAACGCCGCGUGAGUGAAGACGGUUUUCGGAUCGUAAAACUCUGUUGUUAGAGACGCGGUAUCUACCCAGAAAGCCACGGCUAACUACGUGCCAGCCGCCGCGGUAAUAC